rnacentral:tRNA from 1 species
AGAGAAAUAGCUCAGUGGUAGAGCACAUGCUUAGCAUGCAUGAGGUCCUGGGUUCAAUCCCCAAUACCUCCA